GAUGAACGCUGGCGGCGUGCCUAAUACAUGCAAGUCGAACGAAUCUUCCUCGAAAGAUGAGUGGCGAACGGGUGAGUAAUACAUAGGUAACCUGCCCCUGUGCGGGGGAUAACAGGAGGAAACUCCUGCUAAUACCGCAUAGCCAUGAGCACCGCAUGGAGCUCAUGCCAAAUAUCCUUUCGGGGAUAGCGCAGGGAUGGACCUAUGGCGCAUUAGCUGGUUGGCGGGGCAACGGCCCACCAAGGCAACGAUGCGUAGCCGGCCUGAGAGGGCGGACGGCCACAUUGGGACUGAGACACGGCCCAGACUCCUACGGGAGGCAGCAGUAGGGAAUUUUCGGCAAUGGGGGAAACCCUGACCGAGCAACGCCGCGUGAGCGAAGAAGGCCUUCGGGUCGUAAAGCUCUGUUGUAAAGGAAGAACGGCGCAUACAGGAAAUGGUAUGCGAGUGACGGUACUUUACCAGAAAGCCACGGCUAACUACGUGCCAGCAGCCGCCGUAAGAC
rnacentral:rRNA from 1 species